CCUGGGAUCCCCAGGUGUUCCCAUUCCCUGAUUAGGACUGAACACAGACCACUCACCAUGGGGUUUGGGAUCAGCUGGGUUUUCCUUGUGGCUCUAUUAAGAGGUGUCCAGUGUGAGGUGCAGCUGGUGGAGUCUGAGGGAGGCUUGGUGCAGCCUGGGGGGUCUCUGAGACUCUCCUGUGCAGCCUCAGGAUUCACCUUCAGUAGCUACAACAUGAACUGGGUCCGCCAGGCUCCAGGGAAGGGGCUGGAGUGGGUUUCACGCAUUACUAACAGCGGUGGCAGCUCAUACUAUGCAGACUAUGUGAAGGGUCGAUUCACCAUCUCCAGAGACAAUGCCAAGAACACGUUGUACCUGCAAAUGAACAGCCUGAGAGUGGAGGACACGGCCAUGUAUUACUGUACAACAGACACACAGUGA